UAUGAAGCUUUACUGUAGCCUGGUAUUGAAAUUGAGCUUAUUAUGCGCAGUAUAGGUGGGAAGCAAAGAAAGUAUGUUUGCGGAUAUACUAGAGCUAACAGUGAGAUACCACUCUUGAUAAGCCAGAUUUCUAAUUUUGAAUGCCACUAUCUGGCCAAAAAACAUUGCCAGGCGGGCAGUUUGACUGGGGCGGUCGCCUCCUAAAAGGUAACGGAGGCGUGCAAAGGUUUUCUCAGACUGGUCGGAAAUCAGUCGUAGAGUGUAAAGGCAUAAGAAAGCUUAACUGCGAGACCUACAAGUCGAGCAGAGACGAAAGUCGGCCUUAGUGAUCCGACAGUGCUGAGUGGAAAGGCUGUCGCUCAACGGAUAAAAGUUA
rnacentral:rRNA from 1 species